CGGAGGAUCCAAGCGUUGUCCGGAUUUAUUGGGUUUAAAGGGUGCGUAGGCGGAUUAUUAAGUCAGUGGUGAAAGCCGGCAGCUCAACUGUCGAACUGCCAUUGAAACUGAUAGUCUUGAAUGUAGUAGAGGUAGGCGGAAUGUAUCAUGUAGCGGUGAAAUGCUUAGAUAUGAUACAGAACACCAAUUGCGAAAGCAGCUUACUAUGCUAUUAUUGACGCUGAGGCACGAAAGCGUGGGGAUCAAACAGGAUUAGAUACCCUGGUAGUCCACGCUGUAAACGUUGAAUACUCGAUGUUGGCGAUACACUGUCAGCGUCCAAGAGAAAUCGUUAAGUAUUCCACCUGGGGAGUACGCUCGCAAGAGUG
rnacentral:rRNA from 1 species